rnacentral:snRNA from 1 species
UGAUAUGAAGGUGAGUGGGUUGUACCAUCUGUCAUCCCAAUAAUCACCAGGAUCUAUUUGGAUGAUCUCACUAGUAGACUUGUGUUCCCUUUCUUUGUCAUUGUUCCACAUAAGUAUAUCUCUCUAAAAGUGGAACAACUGGUGGAAGAAGACAACCUUAACUGAUGGGCGAGGGACAGUAUUUGGUCAAGGGUAGCUGAGUAGCUGUGCUCAGCUCUCAAGAACUCAAACAGAGGGUCAAGACAUGAGUAUUUUGCUAUCUUCU